rnacentral:rRNA from 1 species
GACGAACGCUGGCGGCGUGCCUAAUACAUGCAAGUCGAACGCAGUGGGGACGGGUGAGUAACAAGUGGGUAACCUCCCAUCAGAGGGGAUAACACUUGGAAACAGGUGCUAAACCGAUCCUGAUGGAUGGACCCGGGGUGCAUUAGCUCGUUGGUGAGGUAACGGCUCACCAAGGCCACGAUGCAUAGCCGACCUGAGAGGAGGAUCCGCCACACUGGGACUGAGACACGGCCCAGACUCCUACGGGAGGCAGCAGUGGGGAAUCUUGGGCAAUGGGCGAAAGUCUGACCGAGCAACGCCGCGUGUGUGAAGAAGGUUUUCGGGUCGUAAAGCACUGUUGUUGGGGAGGCGGUAUCUGACCAGAAAGCCACGGCUAACUACGUGCCAGCAGCCGCGGUAAUUC